rnacentral:rRNA from 1 species
GUUAGAAAUGACUGCUAAUACCGGAUGAUGACUUCGGUCCAAAGAUUUAUCGCCGGAGGAUGGGCCCGCGUAGGAUUAGCUAGUUGGUGGGGUAAAGGCCUACCAAGGCGACGAUCCUUAGCUGGUCUGAGAGGAUGAUCAGCCACACUGGGACUGAGACACGGCCCAGACUCCUACGGGAGGCAGCAGUGGGGAAUAUUGGACAAUGGGCGAAAGCCUGAUCCAGCAAUGCCGCGUGAGUGAUGAAGGCCUUAGGGUUGUAAAGCUCUUUACCAGGGAUGAUAAUGACAGUACCUGGAGAAUAAGCUCCGGCUAACUCCGUG